UACGUAGGGUGCGAGCGUUAAUCGGAAUUACUGGGCGUAAAGCGUGCGCAGGCGGUUCGUUGUGUCGGCGGUGAAAGCCCCGGGCUUAACCUGGGAAUGGCCGUCGAAACUGGCGAACUGGAGUGUGGCAGAGGGGGGUGGAAUUCCGCGUGUAGCAGUGAAAUGCGUAGAGAUGCGGAGGAACACCGAUGGCGAAGGCAGCCCCCUGGGCUGACACUGACGCUCAGGCACGAAAGCGUGGGGAGCAAACGGG
rnacentral:rRNA from 1 species